rnacentral:lncRNA from 1 species
UGCUAUUGGGUCUCUCGCGUGUCGCUCAAGUGUUGCACUACAGCAUGGGCCUGGCGCACCCUAACAAAGCUAGUUGAAAUCUUUCCUUACUUAUUUUAUUGGGGGCCCAAAUUAGAAAAAUACCCCAUAUGAAAUGGAUUUUAGAAAUACAUCUAAAAUUCAUUUACAACAUAACAAAAAAGCUUUUAACUUCUUAUAAAUUACAAAAUUGUCAUCAAUUUCUUAAAACAAGCCCAACCCCAAAAUCUCAUAAAAAUACCCAAAACACUUAAUAG